rnacentral:misc_RNA from 1 species
AAGUCGUAACAAGGUUUCCGUAGGUGAACCUGCGGAAGGAUCAUUAACACGUAUCCAACGUUAAACCCCCCGUGAACUUUUAUUGCGAACCACGCCUUUGUUAAAAAGUAGCAAUCCCUGGUAAAUCAUCGCCGAACAGUUUUGAUUCAGGGAUCUCUGCGAAGAGAGCGGUUGUAGCGCGAGGUAAGUGGCCUGGCAUUCCUCUGCUUGUUAGUGUCUGACAGUGUCACUAGCUCUGUACGAAUGGCGCAGUCACGAUCGCUGGAGGCCGACACGGCCGGCGACCGGGUCACCGGGCAUAGACCCCCCUAUCACCUUUGCAUGAAAACGGGCCUGCGCUUAAUUGUGCGGCCACCAAACUCGAACAACUGUUAACAAUGGAUAUCUUGGUUCUC